rnacentral:rRNA from 1 species
AUACGGAGGGUGCAAGCGUUAAUCGGAAUUACUGGGCGUAAAGCGUGCGUAGGUGGUUUGUUAAGUCAGAUGUGAAAGCCCCGGGCUCAACCUGGGAACUGCAUUUGAAACUGGCAUACUAGAGUAUAGGAGAGGAAAGUGGAAUUUCAGUUGUAGCGGUGAAAUGCGUAGAUAUCUGAAGGAACAUCAAUGGCGAAGGCAGCUUUCUGGACUAAUACUGACACUGAGGUACGAAAGCGUGGGUAGCAAACAGGAUUAGAAACCCUAGUAGUCC